rnacentral:rRNA from 1 species
CAGUCUGAUGGAGCAACGCCGCGUGAGUGAAGAAGGUUUUCGGAUCGCAAAGCUCUGUUGUUGGUGAAAAAGGAUAGAGGUAGUAACUGGCCUUUAUUUGACGGUAAUCAACCAGAAAGUCACGGCUAACUACGUGCCAGCAGCCGCGGUAAUACGUAGGUGGCAAGCGUUGUCCGGAUUUAUUGGGCGUAAAGCGAGCGCAGGCGGAAGAAUAAGUCUGAUGUGAAAGCCCUCGGCUUAACCGAGGAACUGCAUCGGAAACUGUUUUUCUUGAGUGCAGAAGAGGAGAGUGGAACUCCAUGUGUAGCGGUGGAAUGCGUAGAUAUAUGGAAGAACACCAGUGGCGAAGGCGGCUCUCUGGUCUGCAACUGACGCUGAGGCUCGAAAGCAUGGGUAGCGAACAGGAUUAGAUACC